CGACGGGGGAGUUUGGCACCUCGAUGUCGGCUCAUCACAUCCUGGGGCUGUAGCCGGUCCCAAGGGUAUGGCUGUUCGCCAUUUAAAGUGGUACGUGAGCUGGGUUUAAAACGUCGUGAGACAGUUUGGUCCCUAUCUUUCGUGGGCGCAGGAUAUUUGAGGGGAGCUGUUCCUAGUACGAGAGGACCGGAAUGGACGAACCAAUGGUGUUCCAGUUGUCGCGCCAGCGGCAUUGCUGGGUAGCUAUGUUCGGAAUGGAUAACCGCUGAAAGCAUCUAAGCGGGAAGCCAACCCCAAGAUUAGAUAUCCCUUAAGUAUGGAAACAUACUUAACUAAAGACCCCUUGAAGACUACAAGGUUGAUAGGCCAGGUGUGUAAGUGCGGCAACGCAUUUAGCUUACUGGUACUAAUAGGUCGUGAGGCUUGGCCAC
rfam:Deltaproteobacteria bacterium CG1_02_45_11 cg1_0.2_scaffold_4366_c, whole genome shotgun sequence.